GGCGUGCCUAACACAUGCAAGUCGGACGAUUUAAAUUUCGUAGCAAUACGGAGUUUAGAUAGUGGCGCACGGGUGAGUAACGCGUGAGUAAUCUGCCUCUGAGAUCGGGAUAACCUGCCGAAAGGCGGGCUAAUACCGGAUAAGGCUACAGUACUUUCGAGUAUAGGGGUCAAAGGUGGCGCAAGCUACCACUUGGAGAUGAGCUCGCGGCCCAUCAGCUAGUUGGUAGGGUAAUGGCCUACCAAGGCUAUGACGGGUAGCUGGUCUUAGAGGACGACCAGCCACACUGGAACUGAGACACGGUCCAGACUCCUACGGGAGGCAGCAGUGGGGAAUAUUGCGCAAUGGGGGAAACCCUGACGCAGCAACGCCGCGUGGGUGAUGAAGGCCUUCGGGUCGUAAAGCCCUGUCAGCGGGGAAGAAACUUCGGGAUUCAAAUAGGGUCUCGGAUUGACGGUACCCGCGGAGGAAGCACCGGCUAACUCCGUGCCAGCCGCCGCGGUAA
rnacentral:rRNA from 1 species